GUUAGAGUGUGUGAGUGUGAGUGUUAGAGUGAUUGUUAGUGUGUGUGUGAGUGUUAGAGUGAGUGUUAGUGUGUGAGUGUUAGAGAGAGUGUUAGUGUUAGAGUGAGUGUUAGAGUGUGUGUGAGUGUUAGAGUGAGUGUGAGUGUUAGUGUGAGUGUUAGAGUGUGUGAGUGUGUUAGUGUGUGUGUCUGCUAGUGAGUGUCAGUGAGUG